AACGUAGGAGGCGAGCGUUAUCCGGAUUUACUGGGUGUAAAGCGCGUGCAGGCGGCUUGGGAAGUGGUGCGUGAAAGCGCCCGGCUCAACCGGGCGAGGUCGUGCCAAACUGGCAAGCUGGAGGCAGGUAGAGGCGGGUGGAAUUCCGGGUGUAGUGGUGAAAUGCGUAGAGAUCCGGAGGAACACCAGUGGCGAAGGCGACCCGCUGGGCCUGGCCUGACGCUCAGACGCGAAAGCAUGGGGAGCGAACGGG
rnacentral:rRNA from 1 species